rnacentral:rRNA from 1 species
CACGUAGGGGGCAAGCGUUGUCCGGAUUUAUUGGGCGUAAAGAGCUCGUAGGCGGUUCGGUAAGUCGGGUGUGAAACCUCCAGGCUCAACCUGGAGACGCCACCUGAUACUGCUGUGACUCGAGUCCGGUAGGGGAGCGUGGAAUUCCUGGUGUAGCGGUGAAAUGCGCAGAUAUCAGGAGGAACACCAGCGGCGAAGGCGGCGCUCUGGGCCGGAACUGACGCUGAGGAGCGAAAGCAUGGGGAGCGAACAGG